UGUGGCAUCGCGUGCACAGUUAACGUGGUCGGGCUCUUAAAAGGGACAACAUUUCGACCUAUCAGCAUCACACAAAAUUACGAUAUAAAAAGGUUAAACUACAGAGGAGCCAGAGUUAUGGUUUUCACCUGGGUCUGAAUAUUGAGGCCGGGCUGAAGACAUACGAAGAUUCUUUACCAACUUAUACCUCCCAGAAGGUGGUGUGUGUAUAUACACUGCUCAAAAAAAAGGGAACACUUAAACAGCACAAUGUAACUCCCAAGUCAAUCACACUUCUGUGAAAUCAUACUGUUCACUUAGGAAGCAACACUGAUUGAAAAUAAAUUUCACAUGCUGUUGUGCAAAUGAAAUAGACAACAGGUGGAAAUUAUAGACAAUUAGCAAGACACCCCCAAUAAAGGAGUGGUUCUGCAGGUGGUGACCACAGACCACUUCUCAGUUCCUAUGCUUCCUGGCUGAUGUUUUGGUCACUUUUGAAUGCUGGCAGUGCUUUCACUCUAGUGGUAGCAUGAGGCAGAGUCUACAACUCACACAAGUGGCUCAGGUAGUGCAGCUCAUCCAGGACGGCACAUCAAUGUGAGCUGUGGCAAGAAGGUUUGCUGUGUCUGUCAGCGUAGCUACAAGCUAUUUAGUCAUUGUUAGCGGCUUUUACCUUCUGCACAGCCAGCCAGUUUUCUUAACCUGGAUAAUACUCGCCAGUCUAGCUUCCCUGCCCCAUCCACCACUGCCCCCUGGACACUGAUCACUUGGCUACAUAGCUGAUGCAUGCUAGACUGUCCAUUAAUCACGGUACUCCAUUCUGCUUGUUUAUGUUUUAUCUGUCAGCCCCAGCCGCACUCAGGCUGUGUGUGUAGUUAAUCCGACCCUCCCUGCCUAGUCAACGCUAUUUUACCUGCUGUUGUUGUGCUAGCUGAUUAGCUGUUGUCUCACCUACUGUUUUAGCUAGCUCUCCCAAUUCAACACCUGUGAUUGCUGUAUGUCUCUCUCAAAUGUCAAUAUGCCUUGUAUACUGUUGUUCAGGUUAGUUAUCAUUGUUUUAGUUUGCAAUGGCGCCCCUAGUUCCACUCUUCAUACCCCUGAUACCCCCUUUGUCCCACCUCCCACACAUGCGGUGACCUCACCCAUUACAACCAGCAUGUUCAGAGAAACAACCUCUCUCAUCACCCAGUGCCUGGGCUUACCUCCGCUGUACCCGCACCUCACCAUACCCCUGUCUGCGCAUUAUGCCCUGAAUAUAUUCUACCAUGCCCAGAAAUCUGCUCCUUUUAUUAUUUGUCCCCAACGCUCUAGGCGACCAGUUUUGAUAGCCUUUAGUCGCACCCUCAUACUACUCCUCCUCUGUUCCGCGGGUGAUGUGGAGGUAAACCCAGUCCCUGCAUGUCCCCACGCACCCUCAUUCAUUGUUUCAUGCAUGUCAACAUCAGAAGCCUCCUCCCUAAGUUUGUUUUACUCACUGCUUUAGCACACUCUGCUAACCCUGAUGUCCUUGCCGUGUCUGAAUCCUGGCUCAGGAAGGCCACCAAAAAUUCUGAGAUUUCCAUUCCCAACUAUAACAUUUUCCGUCAAGAUAGAACUGCCAAAGGGGGAGGAGUUAGCCUGCAAAGUAAUGUCAUACUUUCCAGGUCCAUACCCAAACAGUUCGAACUACUAACCUUAAAAAUUACUCUCUCCAGAAAUAAGUCUCUCACUGUUGCCGCCUGCUACCGACCCCCCUCAGCUCCAAGCUGUGCCCUGGACACCAUUUGUGAAUUGAUCGCCCCCCAUCUAGCUUCAGAGUUUGUUCUGUUAGGUGACCUAAACUGGGAUAUGCUUAACACCCCGGCAGUCCUACAAUCUAAGCUAGAUGCCCUCAAUCUCACACAAAUCAUCAAGGAACCCACCAGAUACAACCCUAAAUCUGUAAACAAGGGCACCCUCAUAGACAUCAUCCUGACCAACUGGCCCUCCAAAUACACCUCCGCCGUCUUCAACCAGGAUCUCAGCGAUCACUGCCUCAUUGCCUGUAUCCGCUACGGAGCCACAGUCAAACGACCACCCCUCAUCACUGUCAAACGCUCCCUAAAACACUUCUGUGAGCAGGCCUUUCUAAUCGACCUGGCCCGGGUAUCCUGGAAGGACAUUGACCUCAUCCCGUCAGUUGAGGAUGCCUGGUCAUUCUUUAAAAGUAUCUUCCUCACCAUUUUAGAUAUGCAUGCGCAGUUCAAAAAAUGCAGAACUAAGAACAGAUAUAGCCCUUGGUUCACUCCAGACCUGACUGCCCUCAACCAGCACAAAAACAUCCUGUGGCGGACUGCAAUAGCAUAGAAUAGUCCCCGCGGUAUGCAACUGUUCAGGGAAGUCAGGCACCAAUACACGCAGUCAGUCAGGAAAGCUAAGGCCAGCUUCUUCAGUCAGAAAUUUGCAUCCUGUAGCUCCAACUCCAAAAAGUUCUGGGACACAAGUCCAUGGAGAACAAGAGCACCUCCUCCCAGCUGCCCACUGCACUGAGGCUAGGUAACACGGUCACCACCGAUAAAUCCAUGAUUAUCGAAAACUUCAACAAGCAUUUCUCAACGGCUGGCCAUGCCUUCCGCCUGGCUACACCAACCUCGGUCAACAGCUCCGCCCCCCCGGCAGUUACUCGCCCAAGCCUCUCCGGGUUCUCCUUUACCCAAAUCCAGAUAGCAGAUGUUCUGAAAGAGCUGCAAAACCUGGACCCGUACAAAUCAGCUGGGCUUGACAAUCUGGACCCUCUAUUUCUGAAACUAUCCGCCGCCAUUGUCGCAACCCCUAUUACCAGCCUCUUUCAUAUAGUCUAAGAUCCCCAAGGAUUGGAAAGCUGCCGCAGUCAUCCCCCUAUUCAAAGGGGGAGACACCCUGGACCCAAACUGUUACAGACCUAUAUCCAUCCUGCCCUGCCCAUCUAAGGUCUUCGAAAGCCAAUUCAACAAACAGGUCACUGACCAUCUCGAAUCACACCGUACCUUCUCCGCUGUGCAAUCUGGUUUCCGAGCCGGUCACGGGUGCACCUCAGCCACGCUCAAGGUACUAAACGAUAUCAUAACCACCAUCAAUAAGACAGUACUGUGCAGCCGUCUUCAUCGACCUUGCCAAGGCUUUCGACUGUCAAUCACCAUAUUCUUAUCGGCAGACUCAGACUCGGUUUUUCUGAUGACUGCCUUGCCUGGUUCACCAACUACUUUGCAGACCGAGUUCAGUGUGUCAAAUCGGAGGGCAUGCUGUCCAGUCCUCUGGCAGUCUCCAUGGGGGUGCCAUAGGGUUCAAUUCUCGGGCCGACUCUUUUCUCUGUAUAUAUCAAUGAUGUUGCUCUUGCUGCGGGCGAUUCCCUGAUCCACCUCUACGCAGACGACACCAUUCUAUAUACUUCCGGCCCGUCCUUGUACACUGUGCUAUCUAACCUCCAAACGAGCUUCAAUGCCAUACAACACUCCUUCCGUGGCCUCCAACUGCUCUUAAAUGCUAGUAAAACCAAAUGCAUGCUUUAACCGUUCGCUGCCUGCACCCGCACGCCUGACUAGUAUCACCACCCUGGAUGGUUCCGACCUUGAAUAUGUGGACAUCUAUAUGUACCUAGGUGUCUGGCUAGACUGUAAACUCUCCUUCCAGACUCAUAUUAAACAUCUCCAAUCGAAAAUCAAAUCUAGAGUCGGCUUUCUAUUCCGCAACAAAGCCUCCUUCACUCACGCCGCCAAACUUACCCUAGUAAAACUGACUAUCCUACCGAUCCUCGACUUCGGCGACGUCAUCUACAAAAUAGCUUCCAACACUCUACUCAGCAAACUGGAUGCAGUGCCAUCCGCUUUGUCACUAAAGCACCUUAUACCACCCACCACUGCGACCUGUAUGCUCUAGUCGGCUGGCCCUCGCUACAUAUUCGUCGCCAGACCCACUGGUUCCAGGUCAUCUACAAGUCCAUGCUAGGUAAAGCUCCGCCUUAUCUCAUUUCACUGGUCACGAUGGCAACACCCACCUGUAGCACUCGCUCCAGCAGGUGUAUCUCACUGAUCAUCCCUAAAGCCAACACCUAAUUUGGCCGCCUUUCGUUCCAGUUCUCUGCUGCCUGUGACUGGAACGAAUUGCAAAAAUCGCUGAAGUUGGAGACAUCUCCCUCACCACCUUUAAACAUCUACCUGAGCAGCUAACCGAUCGCUGCAGCUGUACAUAGUCUAUCGGUAAAUAGCCCACCCAAUUUUACCUACCUCAUCCCCAUUGUUACGGAUACAGUUCUGUGUGUGUGUGUAUCCUGUGUGUGUGUUUCUUUUCUCUCCUUCUCCCCUCACAGGUGAAAAUCAUCACUCCCCAAUCAGUCAACAAUCAAUCAUCAAUCAGAAGACACACCUCCUCCUAUUUCCUGACCUAUCACAGUUCCUUCCCCAUGGUUUAAAAACCCCAUCAUUUGUUUGUUCUGGAGCCCAGCUCAGCUCACUCUCUCUGUAAAAUGCCAUGUCUGUAGGUCUCUGUGUUUCACUCUCGCUUUGUGUCGUAACCUCUUUUGUUUAAGCACCUCAUAGCACUUUGUCAUCACCUGUGAGUAUUGUUUUUGGUUAUGGUGUUUGUGUUUGAUUGCUGGUGGAAAAGGGGGAAACCAAGACAAGUCGCCCAUGGGCAUACACUACCCGUAGGUGAACUUUGUUAAAUACACUAGUUAGAACUGGGCGGACCACCCACUGUAUUUUUGGUUAGUUAGUUAGCUGUUGUUAAAGUAGGCUAGUCUAGCUUAGGGGUGUUUUUGAAUACUUAUUGUUUCUUUCCUUGGGUCCAGCUCAGCCCCUUUUCCUGCUCCCCCCAUUACCGUGUGUUUAUAAAUAAACCUAGAGUUUGACGGUA